GCGGUCGUGGCGGAAGUGGUAGACGCGCAGCGUUGAGGUCGCUGUGAGAGAAAUCUCGUGGAAGUUCGAGUCUUCUCGACCGCACCA
rnacentral:tRNA from 2 species